rnacentral:rRNA from 1 species
GAUGAACGCUGGCGGCGUGCCUAAUACAUGCAAGUCGAGCGAACAGACGAGGAGCUUGCUCCUCUGACGUUAGCGGCGGACGGGUGAGUAACACGUGGAUAACCUACCUAUAAGACUGGGAUAACUUCGGGAAACCGGAGCUACUACCGGAUAAUAUAUUGAACCGCAUGGUUCAAUAGUGAAAGACGGUUUUGCUGUCACUUAUAGAUUGAUCCGCGCCGCAUUAGCUAGUUGGUAAGGUAACGGCUUACCAAGGCGACGAUGCGUAGCCGACCUGAGAGGGUGAUCGGCCAGCCGGGGACUGAGACAGAGUCCAGACGCCUACGAUAGGCAGCAGUAGGGAAUCGUCCGCAAUGGGCGAAAGCCUGACGGAGCAACGCCGCGUGAGUGAUGAAGGUCUUCGGAUCGGAAAGCUCUGUUAUUAGUAGAGAACAAAUGUGUAAGUAACUGUGCACGUCUUGACGGUACCGGAUCAGAAAGCCACGGCUAACUACGUG